GAUGAACGCUGGCGGCGUGCCUAAUACAUGCAAGUCGAGCGAAUGGAUAAAGAGCUUGCUCUUAUGAAGUUAGCGGCGGACGGGUGAGUAACACGUGGGUAACCUGCCCAUAAGACUGGGAUAACUCCGGGAAACCGGGGCUAAUACCGGAUAACAUUUUGAACCGCAUGGUUCGAAAUUGAAAGGCGGCUUCGGCUGUCACUUAUGGAUGGACCCGCCUCGCAUUAGCUAGUUGGUGAGGUAACGGCUCACCAAGGCAACGAUGCGUAGCCGACCUGAGAGGGUGAUCGGCCACACUGGGACUGAGACACGGCCCAGACUCCUACGGGAGGCAGCAGUAGGGAAUCUCCCGCAAUGGACGAAAGUCUGACGGAGCAACGCCGCGUGAGUGAUGAAGGCUUUCGGGUCGUAAAACUCUGUUGUUAGGGAAGAACAAGUGCUAGUUGAAUAAGCUGGCACCUUGACGGUACCUAACCAGAAAGCCACGGCUAACUACGUGCCAGCCGCCGCGGUAA
rnacentral:rRNA from 1 species